GAAUGGUAUCUAAUGUAAACAAAACAUUUACAUAGAAUUCACUAUGGGACUUCUAAAUAAAUCUUAUAAACUGAUCUUUCCAAUCCCUAGUCACAUCUCGUUACAUCCUCAUUUAGCUUCAAUCUCAAGUUAUCCUGCCACUACACCAUCAUUGAAAGGAGCCUAUAUUAGGUUGAGUUCAGAAAGGUACAAUAACAUACAUGGAUUUUAAUGUUGAUUUUUUUUUCUCUUCCACCCCCCACCCCCCUCCCCAUCUAUUAAAAAUGUAAUAAUAAAAAGUUCAAACGCUGUGGAAUUCAGAAGAUUAGGACUCUGAGGAAGCAGUGGUGGGGCCAUACAAACUGUAUGUGUCGUCUUUUAAAACUCUGCAUGGGACAGAGUGGCUUUCUGAUGAGGUCAUUGAUGCAUACAUAUGGCAUGUAAUUGCACAUUAUCGACUACCGGUUCACCAGAUAUGCGCCAGUGCUGCUACGUCCUUAUUUAUUGGUGAAAUGUCAAGACUUGGAAAGGUUAGUUGUCUGUUCUGUCCUAAUUUUAUAUAUUUUAAUGAUUAAAAAACUUUCUCUUUGGUUAGGUUAAAGAAAUGCCUAAGUUAUAUAUUAUUUUAUUUUUUUUAAAACAGAGGCCAU